GAAUUUUUUGGUCACGAAAUGCGCUCGUGCGUCACCCUUCGGAUAGUGACUUGAACGCACGAACAAAACGGAGCUAUUUGGAUAUAACUAUGGAUUAUUUCGAACCAAAACAACAUUUGUUGUUGAAGUAGAAGUCCUGGGAGUGCAUUCUGACGAAGAACAGCAAAGGCCCACACCUCUUCCCCGUCUCAUCGUCGGCCAACCGGCGUACACGCUGAGGCGCCUCCUGAAAGUUUGACCGCGGGGCAGGGGAUUCCAAUACCUGGUUGUCUGGGAGGGUUAUGACCCGCAGGAGAGGUGCUAGGUCCCCGCUAGGGACAUCCUGGACCCAGGUCUCAUUGCUGAGUUCCAACACCGGCACGCCCAUCUUCCUCAUUAUCCCCAUUGUAUUUAUACCUGUGCUCUCUGUUUGUCUGUUGCCAGUUAGUUUUGUUUCAUCAAGCGUACCAGCGUUUUGCCCCCGUGCUCCUGUCUGUCUCUAGUCCCUGUUUUCUAGCUUUCCCGGUUUUUAACCAUUCUGCCUGCCCUGACCCUGCCUGUCGUUCUGUACCUUGUCACACCACCAUGGAUUACUGACCUCUGCCUGCCCUGACCCUGAGCCUGCCUGCCGUUCUGUACCUUUCAGACUAUGCUCUGGACUACUGACCUCUGCCUGCCCUUGACCUGUCGUUUGCCUACCCCCUGUUUUUGUAAAAAACUUUUGAUACUUCGAAACUCUGCAUCUGGGUCUUCUCCUGAACAGUGACAGGUGGAGUGUUGUAGAGAUGGUUGUCCUUCUGGAAGGUUCUCCCAUCUCCACAGAGGAACUCUGGAGCUCUGUCAGAGUGACCAUCGGGUUCUUGGUCACCUCCCUGACCAAGGCCCUUCUCCCCCGAUUUCUCAGUUUGGCCAGUCGGCCAGCUCUAGGAAGAGUCUUGGUGGUUCCAAACUUUUUCCAUUUAAGAAUGAUGGAGGCUACUGUGUUCUUGAGGACCUUCAAUACUGCAGAAAUGAUUUGGUGCCCUUCCCCAGAUCUGUGCCUCAACACAAUCCUGUCUCACAGAUCUAUCGACAAUUCCUUCGACCUCACCUCAUGUGGGACCUUAUAUAAACAGGUGUGUGCCUUUACAAAUCAUGUCCAAUCAAUUGAAUUUACCACAGGUGGACUCCAGACAAGUUGUAGAAACAUCUCAAGGAUGAUCAAUGGAAACAGG
rnacentral:lncRNA from 1 species